UACGUAGGGUGCGAGCGUUGUCCGGAAUUAUUGGGCGUAAAGGGCGCGUAGGCGGCCUGCUAAGUCGGAUGUGAAAUCCCUCGGCUCAACCGAGGAACUGCAUCCGAUACUGGCGGGCUUGAAUCCGGGAGAGGGAUGUGGAAUUCCAGGUGUAGCGGUGAAAUGCGUAGAUAUCUGGAGGAACACCGGUGGCGAAGGCGGCAUCCUGGACCGGCAUUGACGCUGGGGCGCGAAAGCUAGGGGAGCAAACGGG
rnacentral:rRNA from 1 species